AGCGAACGCUGGCGGCAGGCCUAACACAUGCAAGUCGAACGAACUCUUCGGAGUUAGUGGCGGACGGGUGAGUAACACGUGGGAACGUGCCUUUUGGUUCGGAAUAACUCAGGGAAACUUGUGCUAAUACCGAAUGUGCCCUUCGGGGGAAAGAUUUAUCGCCAUUAGAGCGGCCCGCGUCUGAUUAGCUAGUUGGUGAGGUAACGGCUCACCAAGGCGACGAUCAGUAGCUGGUCUGAGAGGAUGACCAGCCACACUGGGACUGAGACACGGCCCAGACUCCUACGGGAGGCAGCAGUGGGGAAUCUUGCGCAAUGGGCGAAAGCCUGACGCAGCCAUGCCGCGUGAAUGAUGAUGGUCUUAGGAUUGUAAAAUUCUUUCACCGGGGACGAUAAUGACGGUACCCGGAGAAGAAGCCCCGGCUAACUUCGUG
rnacentral:rRNA from 1 species